AGAGAGACACAGAAUCCGAAGCAGGCUCCAGGUUCUGGGCUGUCAGCACAGAGCCUGAUGUGGGGCUCGAACUCAAAAGCGGUGAGUUCAUAACCUGAGGCCAAGUCAGACGCUCAACCGACUGAGCCACGCAGGUGCCCCCAAAUGUCUGUGUUCUUAAAGAGCCCAGACCCAAGGGUGACCUUGCAGUCCCAAGCCAACCUCUGACCCCUGGAGGACACCGGGGCCUCCUGUCCUGUCUUGUCCCAGCCCAGCUGGGAUUGGACACCCCUCCUUCUCUGGACAGAGAGGUAUUGCUCGGUGGGGAAAUGGGAGUCUGGAAACAGGAGGUGCCACAGACCUGCGGGAAGACGCCGAAGUCCUUGGGGGAGCUAGAGCUGGUUCUACUUGUACCCAAGUGUCCCUACUGUGACCAGCCGGAAGGGGCCAGCCACUCGUGUUGCAGUCGUGCUGAAUCGUCCCGUCGGGGGCCCUGGGGCGAGGGUGGUGGAUUAUCUGGUUGGGAGGGCUGGGGCGGGGUCUGCAAGCCCUGUCCAAUCAGGGUCCGCGGUCUCGGAGCACCGUCCAAUCAGAACCGCGGGCGGGCUCCCAGCCGUGUGGGCUGGGCUCUCAGACCGCCAGAGGCGCUAGUGUGCACCUGCCCCGUGCGGCUGCAGGUGUCUGGGUCGGCGUCGCGCUCACCUGCCUGGGCCAUGGAGCCACGGGGAGGACGCCAGGAGAGCCUGCAGCGAGGCCGCGAGAUGGUGACCCCGACCCCAGUUCUCAUUUCCUGGAGGGACAUUAGUUGUCAGUUGACCAGAUGCUGGUAUGGAAGGGAAGAGAGGAAUGGUUCCUGCCCCCUGGAUUCUCACGGUGAAGGAUGAAAAACCCGAAGGACAAAGAAAACCCAGGCUUAGCCUCGAGGAUGCUACUGGGGAAAAGAAUCUAAGAGAAAUAGAGAAAGCUUCUCUCGCAUUAUGAAUGCAUAAAAAUGAAUGCAUUUACACACACACACAAGCUUGGCCUAUUAAUUGGUGAGUUACAAAGACUCACCAAAAUGUCAGCUAUUUUUUGUUUACUGGGUGGGAAAUUUAUGACUGUGGAUAAUUUUAUUCUGUCUGGUAUUAUUGGAUUUCAGAGAUGAAUGCUGAAUCCUAUUUCGUGAAAUUUGCAUCACGUGUUGAAAUGUGAUUGUUUAUAAAGCAUUUUACUCCCAUGGAAAUAAUAAAGUGACAUCUUUAUUUUCUCUGAAAGGAACA
rnacentral:lncRNA from 1 species